UACGUAGGGACCAAGCGUUGUUCGGAUUUACUGGGCGUAAAGGGCGCGUAGGCGGCAUGACAAGUCACUUGUGAAAUCUCUGGGCUUAACCCAGAACGGCCAAGUGAUACUGUCGCGCUAGAGUGCGGAAGGGGCAAUCGGAAUUCUUGGUGUAGCGGUGAAAUGCGUAGAUAUCAAGAGGAACACCUGAGGUGAAGACGGGUUGCUGGGCCGACACUGACGCUGAGGCGCGAAAGCCAGGGGAGCAAACAGG
rnacentral:rRNA from 1 species